CCCAGGGCUUACGACCUGGGCUAUUUUCUACCGCCCUUUCGAGGCU
rfam:Fimbriiglobus ruber strain SP5 contig20, whole genome shotgun sequence.